GAGUAAACGUUAAUUCGGUGAAGGCUAAAGGUUGGGAGGAGUUGGGAGGGUGAGGAGUAACACUGAGUGUGAAAACUGGGGCAGGUGAAAACAAGGUCUUAAACAGAGUAGUGACAUGACCAGAUUCGUGUUAUUUGCAAGAUCCUUCUCACUGCAGUGUGGAGAACAGACUGAACAGGGUAGAAUAGUGGGUGUGGGAGGCACCAUUUCAAACAGGGCAAAUACAAAUGGUGGGUAUCACAUCAGUUGACUGGGUGUAAUAAUAACUAACACUGAACACCACGUACCAGGAUCUGUAUCAAGUGCUUUGCUUAGAUUAUUAACUCGUGUAACCCUCACAACACCCUGUGAGAUCGGUACUGUUUUCAUCCCCACUUUACAGAUGGGAAACCUGACGGGCAAAAGAGAGGAAGUAACUUUUCUAUGAUCACACAGCUAGAAAGUGGCAGAGCUAGGAUUCACCUUAGGCAUUCUGACUCAGAAGUCUGUCUCCUCAUUAGUAUACUAUGCAGAAAAGUAGAAAAGAUCUUACGGGGGCUGGAUUUUUGUCCCCCAAGAGAUACAUUGAAGUCCUAACCCUUGGUACCUGUGAAGAUGGCAUUAUUUGGAAAUAGGGUCUUUCAGGUGUAAUCGAGAAGGUCACACUGGAUGAGGAUGGCCAAUGAGGUGUCCAUAUAUGGAGAGAGAGACACACACAGGGGGAAGAAGGCCAAAUGACAACAGAGGCAGAGAGUGCAGGGAUGUAGCUGGACACCGGAGAAUGCCAGGAAUUGCCGGUAACUACCAGAAGCUGCGAGAGGCAUAGAUGAGAACGUUCCUCAGAGGCCCCAAAAGGAACCAACUCUGCUGACGCCUUGAUUUUGGACUUCCGGUCCCCAGAACUGUGGCUGUAACUGUGGAUAAAAUCCAAAUUGGAAUGUGUUGAGAAGUGAGUGGAAAGUGAUAAAAUGGAGAUCACCGUAGCAAAUACGAUAAUAAUGAAAAAGACGGAGAUCUGCGAGAAUUACCAAAACGUGACACCUCUAGAGACACAAAGCGAGCUGUUGGAAAAAUGGCACCAUUAGACUUGCUUGACACAGGAUUGCCACAAACCUCUAAUUUGUAAAAAACACAGUAUCGGGGAAGUGAAAUAAAGGGAAGCAGUGAAGCAAGGUGUGUCUAACGUUGCUUGGCUUUUUACAGAAACUGACACGUUGCUUCUAAAGGAAAUGGACCCAGAAUUGCCAAAAUGAUCUUGAAAGAGAAUACAAUGCCCAGACCUUACUCCAGACCUGCAUUAAUAUUUUCCAGAAGUGAAGUUCACCAGUGUCUUUUCCAAAAUUUCUGCAGAGACAGAGCACGAGCUGGGGAGGGGCAGAGAGCGAGGGAG